rnacentral:misc_RNA from 1 species
AAGUCGUAACAAGGUUUCCGUAGGUGAACCUGCGGAAGGAUCAUUAACACGUAUCCACGUACCCACCAUUCGUGCAUGAUUAUCUCCCUGAAAAUAUUCUCAUAUUUUUGGGCUAUCUUUUUUACAUACAAACUUAUUUCACAAUUUGAACAACUUCUAUAAAAUAUUGCAAGUUGACUUAUUUUAAUGAAAAUGUUUUUACAUUUUCAAUUUCUUAUUUUAACCGAUAGGAAUAUCAUAAAGUACAACUCUUAGCAAUGGAUAUCUUGGCUCUC